UCACCAGACUCCUACGGGAGGCAGCAGUGGGGGAUAUUGCACAAUGGGGGGAAACCCUGAUGCAGCGACGCCGCGUGGGUGAAGAAGCGCCUCGGCGCGUAAAGCCCUGUCAGCAGGGAAGAAAAUGACGGUACCUGAAGAAGAAGCCCCGGCUAACUACGUGCCAGCAGCCGCGGUAAUACGUAGGGGGCAAGCGUUAUCCGGAUUUACUGGGUGUAAAGGGGGCGCAGACGGCGAUGCAAGCCAGGAGUGAAAGCCCGGGGCCCAACCCCGGGACUGCAUUGGAAACUGUAUUGCUUGAGUACCGGAGAGGCAGGCGGAAUUCCUAGUGUAGCGGUGAAAUGCGUAGAUAUUAGGAGGAACACCAGUGGCGAAGGCGGCCUGCUGGACGGUAACUGACGCUGAGGCUCGAAAGCGUGGGGAGCAAACAGGAUUAGAUACCCUUGUAGAG
rnacentral:rRNA from 1 species